UCCUCCCUCUUUCUUCGUGCUUAACACAUGCAGGUCGAACGGAAAGGCCCUGCUUUUGUGGGGUGCUCGAGUGGCGAACGGGUGAGUAACACGUGAGUAACCUGCCCUUGACUUUGGGAUAACUUCAGGAAACUGGGGCUAAUACCGGAUAGGAGCUCCUGCUGCAUGGUGGGGGUUGGAAAGUUUCGGCGGUUGGGGAUGGACUCGCGGCUUAUCAGCUUGUUGGUGGGGUAGUGGCUUACCAAGGCUUUGACGGGUAGCCGGCCUGAGAGGGUGACCGGCCACAUUGGGACUGAGAUACGGCCCAGACUCCUACGGGAGGCAGCAGUGGGGAAUAUUGCACAAUGGGCGGAAGCCUGAUGCAGCAACGCCGCGUGCGGGAUGACGGCCUUCGGGUUGUAAACCGCUUUCGCCUGUGACGAAGCGUGAGUGACGGUAAUGGGUAAAGAAGCACCGGCUAACUACGUG
rnacentral:rRNA from 1 species